AAGAAAGAAAAAAAAAGGAACGAACUUUGUUUGUUAAGCAAGAGAUCAAAGGGUGAGGGAAGGGGAGAACGCCACUAGUUGCUAAGAAGCAACAUUUUUGUAGCCUGUGCUUUAUGUAUGGUCACAGCCCAUCAGCAAAUAGGAACCUAAACUUGUCCAUGAGUAAAUUUCAACAAUUAGCAGAACCCCAUGUACCAGUACAGCAGUGCUUGACAAGUAAACUUCAAGCACAAUAUGGCCAAAUAGAUCUUAAAUAAAUAAUUCUACUUACCUCUUCAUCGACCAUUCUUCAUUGCAUUAAAGCUAGUUACCUGAAAUGUUGGAGCUAAACCCAGACUCAAGAAAAAACGGCCUUUAGAUACAGACUGGAUCCCUUCAAUUUGCUGCAGUUCUUUAAUCAGUGAUUCUACAUUGGCCCACCGUUGGCAUUCCAAAUCAGAGUGUCAGGACAAUGUCGCUCAGAAUCUGCCUCUGCUGCUUGUAAUCUCCCAUCAAAUGAAUCACGAUCUCCAACCACAGAUUCCAAGGCCUCA
rnacentral:misc_RNA from 1 species